rnacentral:rRNA from 1 species
UCGGGAAUUUUGGGCAAUGGGCGAAAGCCUGACCCAGCAACGCCGCGUGAAGGAUGAAGUCUCUCGGGAUGUAAACUUCGUAAGAAUAGGAAGAAUAAAUGACGGUACUAUUUGUAAGGUCCGGCUAACUACGUGCCAGCAGCCGCGGUAAUACGUAGGGACCAAGCGUUGUUCGGAUUUACUGGGCGUAAAGGGCGCGUAGGCGGCGUGGUAAGUCACUUGUGAAAUCUCCGAGCUUAACUCGGAACGGUCAAGUGAUACUGCUGUGCUAGAGUACAGAAGGGGCAAUCGGAAUUCUUGGUGUAGCGGUGAAAUGCGUAGAUAUCAAGAGGAACACCUGAGGUGAAGACGGGUUGCUGGGCUGAUACUGACGCUGAGGCGCGAAAGCUAGGGUAGCAAA